AGAAUCGAAACUGAGAGCUCCUGGGCAGGCUCGGCAGGGCAGGCAGCUCCAGGAGGGCUUCGAACCGUGGCCAACAGUUCCAGUGGACCGCGUGGACCCGUGAGCUCAGGAGCCUCAGACGCCGCCCCGGAGAGCCAAGCUGGUGUUCGAGGUGGCGCCUCCAGGGUCCAGCCUGCUGCCCAACAGCCCCACGGCCACCAGAGGGCCAUCCCUGGCCCGGCUGUGUGCCCUGGUGGACCUGUGUCUGGGCUGCUCCCACUGCACCCAGCGGCUCAAUGAAAGCACCUACGUCCUCCGCAGGGUGGAGCAUGACUGCUCCCGUGAGAUCCUGCUGGCCCGCUUUAAGCAGGCCACCAAGAGCAAGGUCUGGCGCGUGGUGGGCUGCCGGCCCACCUUCCCGAGGCCCCUGUGCUACCAAGUCUGCCGCUACUACAGCCCUGGGCUCGGCUGCCGGCGCCACCGAAACCGGUGCACCUUUGCCCGCAGUCGUGAGGAGGCCCUGGUCUGGACCUUCGAGCGUCAGCACAACCUCCAGCGCCUAUGGCUGAAGGCGGAGGUGCAGGGCGGCGGGGCCCAGGGAGGGGCAGGCCGGGCGGCCGACGCCAUCCUCACAGAGUUUGGCGGCCGCUUCGAGCUGCUUUGCUCCCUCUGCUUCAGGUGCUCUCCCCCACGCGUCUGUCGCGUGGACCCCCAGAGGCAGUGCCCUGAGCACGGAGCCUGCCCCUCCCUCCUGGCCCACGUGAGCGCCGAGGGCCGCCGCAAGCAACAGUUUGUGGCGGUGAGGCCGCAGCCCCGGGCCGGCCAGCCUCCUGCCUACUGCAGGUUUGUGGGGCGUGGGCAGCCGUGCUGGCGUGGGGAGUCCCGCUGCCAGUUCGCACACAGCGCCGUGGAGAUGGCUGUGUGGGAGGCCGAGCAGCUGGGUGGCCUCCAGCGGGGGGACCUGCUCACACCCCCUGCCCCUGAUGGCGACGGGCGCACGGCCCCCCUUGGCCAGCCCCCUGGAGCCCAGCUGUACUGCCCGGCCUGCUUGGUCACCUGUCACUCUCAGGAGGCCUUCGAGAACCACUGCGCAUCCUCGGAGCACGCACAGAUGGUGGCCUUCGACCAGGCCGUGCCCUGGGAGCACCGUUCCCCACCCCCGGGACUCUCCAAGUUCGAGCUCUGCCCAAAGCCUGACCUCUGUGAGUAUGGGGACGCCUGCACCAAGGCGCACUCAGCACGGGAGCUGCAGGAGUGGGUCCAGCGCACGCAGGCUGUGGAGCUGCGGGGGCAGGCGGCCUGGCAGGAUGGGCUGGUGCCCUACCAGGAGCGGCUGCUGGCCGAGUACCAGCGCAGCAGCAGUGAGGUCCUUGUGGUAAGUGGGCCCUGGGAGUGGGUGGGGUGGGGUGGGGUCCAGGCCUCCUGCUGAAGGCUAGACUUCCACACAGCUGGCAGAGACCCUUGAUGGAGUUCGUGUCACCUGCAACCAGCCCCUGAUGUACCAGGCCCAGGAGAGGAAGACCCAGUACAGCUGGACGUUUGCCGUCCACUCCGAGGUGAGCAGAGAGCAGCUCCGACUGGGCGGAGGGAGCCCUGGGGAAGUGGUGACCUCAGCCCGGGCAGACGUCAAGAGCCUGGGUCGUGGAGCUAAUACCGAGGCACUGCCGCUCAGCGCCUGGGUGACCUGCGGCAGGUCCCUUAGCUCUCUGCCUCAGUCUCCUCACCUAGAGACAGGGGGGCCAGGACAGUCCCACCUUGGCAGGGUUACUCUAUGGAGUAUAUGGGUUAAAACAAGGAUUUGGCCAGGUGCGGUGGUUCACACCUGUAAUCCCAGCACUUUGGGAGGCCGAGGCAGGUGGAUCACCUGAAGUCAGGAGUUCAAGAUCAGCCUGGCCAAUAUGGCAAAACUCCGUCUCUACUA
rnacentral:sRNA from 1 species